UACAGAGGGUGCAAGCGUUAAUCGGAAUUACUGGGCGUAAAGCGAGCGUAGGUGGCUUGAUAAGUCAGAUGUGAAAUCCCCGGGCUUAACCUGGGAACUGCAUCUGAUACUGUUAAGCUAGAGUAGGUGAGAGGGAAGUAGAAUUCCAGGUGUAGCGGUGAAAUGCGUAGAGAUCUGGAGGAAUACCGAUGGCGAAGGCAGCUUCCUGGCAUCAUACUGACACUGAGGCUCGAAAGCGUGGGUAGCAAACAGG
rnacentral:misc_RNA from 1 species